CGAACGCUGGCGGCGUGCUUAACACAUGCAAGUCGAACGGAAAGGCCCUGCUUUUGUGGGGUGCUCGAGUGGCGAACGGGUGAGUAACACGUGAGUAACCUGCCCUUGACUUUGGGAUAACUUCAAGAAACUGGGGCUAAUACCGGAUAGGAGCUCCUGCUGCAUGGUGAGGGUUGGAAAGUUUCGGCGGUUGGGGAUGGACUCGCGGCUUAUCAGCUUGUUGGUGGGGUAGUGGCUUACCAAGGCUUUGACGGGUAGCCGGCCUGAGAGGGUGACCGGCCACAUUGGGACUGAGAUACGGCCCAGACUCCUACGGGAGGCAGCAGUGGGGAAUAUUGCACAAUGGGCGGAAGCCUGAUGCAGCAACGCCGCGUGCGGGAUGACGGCCUUCGGGUUGUAAACCGCUUUCGCCUGUGACGAAGCGUGAGUGACGGUAAUGGGUAAAGAAGCACCGGCUAACUACGUGCCAGCAGCCGCGGUGAUACGUAGGGUGCGAGCGUUGUCCGGAUUUAUUGGGCGUAAAGGGCUCGUAGGUGGUUGAUCGCGUCGGAAGUGUAAUCUUGGGGCUUAACCCUGAGCGUGCUUUCGAUACGGGUUGACUUGAGGAAGGUAGGGGAGAAUGGAAUUCCUGGUGGAGCGGUGGAAUGCGCAGAUAUCAGGAGGAACACCAGUGGCGAAGGCGGUUCUCUGGGCCUUUCCUGACGCUGAGGAGCGAAAGCGUGGGGAGCGAACAGGCUUAGAUACCCUGGUAGUCCACGCUGUAAACGGUGGGUACUAGGUGUGGGGUCCAUUCCACGGGUUCCGUGCCGUAGCUAACGCUUUAAGUACCCCGCCUGGGGAGUACGGCCGCAAGGCUAAAACUCAAAGGAAUUGACGGGGCCCCGCACAAGCGGCGGAGCAUGCGGAUUAAUUCGAUGCAACGCGUAGAACCUUACCUGGGUUUGACAUGGAUCGGGAGUGCUCAGAGAUGGGUGUGCCUCUUUUGGGGUCGGUUCACAGGUGGUGCAUGGCUGUCGUCAGCUCGUGUCGUGAGAUGUUGGGUUAAGUCCCGCAACGAGCGCAACCCUUGUUCACUGUUGCCAGCACGUUAUGGUGGGGACUCAGUGGAGACCGCCGGGGUCAACUCGGAGGAAGGUGGGGAUGACGUCAAGUCAUCAUGCCCCUUAUGUCCAGGGCUUCACGCAUGCUACAAUGGCUGGUACAGAGAGUGGCGAGCCUGUGAGGGUGAGCGAAUCUCGGAAAGCCGGUCUCAGUUCGGAUUGGGGUCUGCAACUCGACCUCAUGAAGUCGGAGUCGCUAGUAAUCGCAGAUCAGCAACGCUGCGGUGAAUACGUUCCCGGGGCUUGUACACACCGCCCGUCAAGUCAUGAAAGUUGGUAACACCCGAAGCCGGUGGCCUAACCGUUGUGGGGGAGCCGUCGAAGGUGGGACUGGUGAUUAGGACU
rnacentral:rRNA from 1 species